rnacentral:misc_RNA from 1 species
AAACAUCAAUUGCAGCAUUGAGGACAGCCUUGCCCGCUACCGUGAUGUUGCUCUUGCAGCAAAGGAACUAGCAAUGCCUAUCCGUGGGUAUGUAUCAUGUGCUGUGGGUUGUCCUGAAGAAGGAGACGUGCCUCCUUCAAAGGUGGCGUAUGUCGCAAAGCAACUUCAUGAUAUGGGUUGCUCUGAAAUCUCACUCGCUGAUACGAUUGGAGUUGGCACUCCGGGUACUGUCAUUCCAAUGCUCGAAGCUGUAAUGUCUGUAGUCCCUACAGAGAAACUCGCUGUUCAUUUUCACGACACAUACGGCCAAGCCCUUUCGAACAUUCUGGUCUCCCUCCAGAUGGGCAUCAGUACCGUCGACUCAUCUGUUG